GUAGGUGGCAAGCGUUGUCCGGGAUUUACUGGGGCGUAAAGGGGCGUGUAGGGCGGGUCCGGUUAAGUCCGGUGUGAAAUCUCCCGGCUCAACUGGGAGAGGUCAUCGGAUACUGACGGACUAGAGGGGGGUAGAGGAAGGUGGAAUUCCCGGUGUAGCGGUGGAAUGCGUAGAUAUCGGGAGGAACACCAGUGGCGAAGGCGGCCUUCUGGGCCCACCCUGACGCUGAGGCGCGAAAGCGUGGGGAGCAAACCGGAUUAGAUACCCGGGUAGUCCACGCCCUAAACGUUGGAUGCUAGGUGUGGGGGGUGUCGACCCCCUCCGUGCCGUAGCUAACGCUUUAAGCAUCCCGCCUGGGGAGUACGGCCGCAAGGCUA
rnacentral:rRNA from 1 species